UUGACCUCAAAUCAGGUAGGACUACCCGCCGAACUUAAGCAUAUCAAUAAGCGGAGGAAAAGAAACUAACGAGGAUUCCCCUAGUAACGGCGAGUGAAGCGGGAAGAGCUCAAAUUUGUAAUCUGGCGGCCUUCGGUCGUCCGAGUUGUAGUCUGGAGAAGCGUUUUCCGCGUCGGACCGUGUACAAGUCCCUUGGAACAGGGCGUCGUAGAGGGUGAGAAUCCCGUCUUUGACACGGACUGCCGGCGCUUUGCGAUGCGCUCUCGAAGAGUCGAGUUGUUUGGGAAUGCAGCUCAAAUCGGGUGGUAAAUUCCAUCUAAAGCUAAAUAUUGGCGAAAGACCGAUAGCGAACAAGUACCGUGAGGGAAAGAUGAAAAGCACUUUGGAAAGAGAGUUAAACAGUACGUGAAAUUGUUGAAAGGGAAACGCUUGAAGUCAGUCGCGUCUCCCGGGACUCAGCCUUGCGCCCCUUAACGCUUGGUGUAUUUCCUGGGACGACGGGCCAGCGUCGAUUUCGAUCGUCGGAGAAGGGCCUUUGGGAACGUGGCACCUUCGGGUGUGUUAUAGCCCUGGGUCGUAU
rnacentral:rRNA from 1 species